GUAUUCAGCGGAGUUAAAAUCUGGUGAAGUUUAAAGGUUAAAAUUAUUAUUAAAUAGUGUUUUAAAAAUGUAUUUAAUUUAGUAUUGGGAUACUUUAAAUUUGGGUUGCCUUUCUACUUAUUUUGAGGUUAAUUUCCAGUAGAUUAUAAAUUAAGUAUGUGAUGUUGGGUAUGUGAAUUGAUUAUGGUUUCUUGGGUUAUAUUUCUUUGACCUUACAUUCAUGUUUGUAUUUCAAGGUUUUUCACCUGGUUUGACCUGGACAAUUUUAAAAAGAAAAAGCAAGAAAGCAAAGAAGUCCGAAUCUUGGUCAUUGAGUGGAAUCCAGUCUACACUUCUUAGCAAGCUGCCCUUUCAAGUGGGGGGCUGCAGUUUGACCCUCACAAAAGUGAGACACUUGACAGUGAAAAACCGCCACUGGUGCGAAGACUGGAGCGAAGUAUCCUGAACUGCAACUGGCCAAGCCUGGAAGUCCAGAGGCCUAGUAACACUGAAGAUCACCCCGCCCACACCGAAUCCUGGUGAAAAGGAAGAUGGCUGACUCAAAGUCACUGGAGCAGCUUAAAGCUAGUAGGACGUCUGCAAAGCGACAAUUCUCCCGGCUGUCCAACAACAUUGUCCGGAUGCACGCCAUAAUGGCUGAAGAGGAG
ensembl:lncRNA